UUUAAGUCCAUGGCUCAGUGUUGGGGAGUAUCUGCUUUGCAAGCAGAAGGUCCUAGGUUCAAUCUCCGGCAUCCCCAUUUAAAA
rnacentral:tRNA from 1 species